rnacentral:rRNA from 1 species
CACGUCUGGUUCAGGGUUGUUAAUGAAAUUACUACAGUGUGGCCAAUUUAUAACACUGUUUGCCGAAUGGAAUUUGUCUCUAUUAUUGUGACUAUUACCAUUUCAGUUCAAGAAUAAUACAUGCAACAUGACAUUAAUACUAUCAUUGUGUUAAUGUUCCUGAAUGAUAUGAAUGUAUUGCCACUGUUUAAAUGUACUCAGUGAAUUUGAGAUUGAUUUGAACAGGGACAUGUAUGACAAUAAUGUUCGAUUAUCAUUUGUAUUGCAACCUGAGCUCAGGCGUGAUUACCCGCUGAACUUAAGCAUAUCAUUUAGCGGAGGAAAAGAAACUAA